UACGGGGGAUGCGAGCGUUAUCCGGAUUUAUUGGGUUUAAAGGGUGCGUAGGCGGCGCUUCAGGUCAGCGGUGAAAUACCGGGGCUCAACCCCGGGACUGCAUUUGGAACUGUUAAGCUGGAGUGUCGGAGAGGCAGGCGGAAUUCCUAGUGUAGCGGUGAAAUGCGUAGAUAUUAGGAGGAACACCAGUGGCGAAGGCGGCCUGCUGGACGAUGACUGACGUUGAGGCUCGAAAGCGUGGGGAGCAAACAGG
rnacentral:rRNA from 1 species